UCUCCGUUGGUGAACCAGCGGAGGGAUCAUUACCGAGUUUACAACUCCAAAACCCCUAUGUGAACGUUACCAAACUGUUGCCUCGGCGGGAAAUUCAUGCCCCGGGCGCGUCGCAGCCCCGGACCAAGGCGCCCGUCGGAGGACCAACCAAAACUCUUUUGUAUGUCCCUCGCGGACUUUUAUAAUUCUGAACCAUCUCGGCGCCCCUAUCGGGCGUUUCGAAAAUGAAUCAAAACUUUCAACAACGGAUCUCUUGGUUCUG
rnacentral:misc_RNA from 1 species